AUGGGAACGCGAAGAACCUUACCUAGACUUGACAUCUCCUGAAUUACUCUGUAAUAGAGGAAGCCCUUCGGGGCAGGAAGACAGGUGGUGCAUGGUUGUCGUCAGCUCGUGUCGUGAGAUGUUGGGUUAAGUCCCGCAACGAGCGCAACCCUUAUUGUUAGUUGCUACCAUUAAGUUGAGCACUCUAGUGAGACUGCCCGGGUUAACCGGGAGGAAGGCGGGGAUGACGUCAAAUCAUCAUGCCCCUUAUGUCUAGGGCUACACACGUGCUACAAUGGUGAGAACAACGGGAUGCAAUACCGCGAGGUGGAGCAAAACUUCAAAACUCAUCUCAGUUCGGAUUGUAGGCUGAAACUCGCCUACAUGAAGUUGGAGUUGCUAGUAAUCGCGAAUCAGAAUGUCGCGGUGAAUACGUUCCCGGGUCUUGUACACACCG
rnacentral:rRNA from 1 species